GGGAGGUGUGUCUGGUGAUCCACGAUCUGCAGCUCUGCUCACAGAGGCUUGGAAAAUGCUGGCCUAAAGAUAGAGAGUAUGCCAGAGUAAAUAUAGAGACAGCGGGAUCUUUCAUUGCUGCUGGUGCAUGACAACCUAACUCCCAGUUCUGGUCACUUUUAAUGUUCUGAACUUGAUUUAAAGGGCACUCAGCUGAAUAGGAUUUGAGACAUCAGUACACUCACAGCCCACUGCAGGAGCUGCAGACUGUAUAGUUGUAGGGUAUUUUUAUUCAUUGUAAAAUGACUGAUGUCUGCAGUGUUUCAUAGGUCACCAGCGAUGCACUGAACUAAAUUUAGUCCUGAAAAGAAGAGAAGAGUAGUUUGCUUCAAUAUUGAUGUGGGGCAUGGCUCAGGAUUCUUGGAUCUAAAUACUGUCCUUAAAACUGAAGCUUGGCACAACUUUCAGUGACCUCUGACCAAUCAGUUAAUCCCUGGAUCCCAGUGGACAUUUGUGCCAUUCAAGAGGCAUCACACUGGGAUGGACAGAUGGAUGGACACCCGGAAAACAUGAUGCCUCCAGCCUCAGCUGUCGUUGGUGCAGAGACGUAAAAGCGUAGCAGAUGUUCUCAAUUUUUGGAGGGAAAUGUCACCCCCAUGGCUACAGCUGUGGAUGCCUGUUUCCGGAGGAUGAUUGCUAUUUUUGGAUUCUUUUUGUUGACUGCCUGACAUUUUCUCUAACAAUCGGGUCUUAAUUUUCACAAAAACAUAUAAAGGGGUUCAGUUGGGCUGGCGCACUCACUCUUUGUGGGGUUUCCCUUUGCACUGUCAAAGCCACCUUGCACAUCAACCCACUCCUUUGUCAGUCUGACUGUGCACAUGGCAUGGAUAGAUAGACAGACCUCAUUUCGUUUGAAAACUGAAUGUGAAGUGGUCUGAAACUCUGUAUAAAGCAGCAUACGUGUUGACUUUAGCCAUUUAAUAAGACUGUUGGCCUGCAUGACUGUUACUUCACUGUAACUAUUACAUUAAAUUCACUGUCAAGCUCAACUGCAAGUUCACUGUCCUGCUUUCCGAUGGGGUUUGAGCACAAUAUCACAGUAACUCACCACCAUGGCUAUGGUAGGUGCUACAAGCUAGUUUGAUCAUUUCCUUGCUCUUAACAUUGUUAAUAUUGGUGUGUAUUUUGUUACAACUCGGCUCCACAGUUGUAACAAAAACUCGGAGACAACCACUGUACGGUGAAAAACAAAGGUUUAUUGCCAAUUAAAAGUAGUCCACAAUGCCGUCAAGGCCCAAAUAUUAAAAAUUCCUGCACCAAGCAUAAUAAAUGUUCUAUUUAUUGUAUUUAUUAUUUCAGUAACUUUAUUAUAUUUUGUAUGUUAUUAUUGUCAUACAAUUUAUUUAUUUGUGUGCCUACAUCUUUUAUUUUCUUACUUGGCUACUCUGUAAAGGAGGCCUCCGUACUUCAGUGUACUCUGACUUGACAUAAG